rnacentral:lncRNA from 1 species
GAGUCCGAGUGAUGUGACGUUCGCGUUCCGGUUUGUUCCUCGUGUGUCGGUGUGUGCGUGUGUGCAUUUCCCAGCAUAUUAUCGGCCUCGCGUUUUAAGUGUAUCUGUGUCUAUUUCUCAAUCUAGGAGUCGGAUAUCUGGUCAUAGCUUAUUCCUUUGAUGCGUGCAAUUUUGGCGUUGGUCUGGAUUCAGCCAAAUUUUUUCAGUGCACAGUGCGCAGUGCGGUUUCAGUGAUGGUGUCGUGUCGUGAGUGCUUUCAGCUUGGCGUCGGGCAAUUGGAUAACUCUCAUCUGCUCACGAAGUGAAGGCCCACUACUUCCCUCGAAAUUGGUUUUGGUGGGCGCAAUUCUCUCCAAAAUGAUGACUUUGUCCAGACAGCUCAAAAGAAGAUGGACGCAGCUGUCUCGUAAAUUAGGUAUGUGUAAUUAGGCAUAUACAUUUUUUUCUAAUCAUGCUUAAUUUUGUGUU